rnacentral:rRNA from 1 species
UGCGUAGGCGGCAUGACAAGUCUGGUGUGAAAUAUCUCGGCUCAACCGAGAAAACGCACUGGAAACUGUCAAGCUUGAGUAUCGGAAGGGAAGCUAGAAUUCCUGGUGUAGGGGUGAAAUCUGUAGAUAUCAGGAAGAAUACCGGUGGCGAAGGCGAGCUUCUGGCCAGAUACUGACGCUGAGAUGCGAAAGCGUGGGGAGCGAACAGGAUUAGAUACCCUGGUAGUCC